UGGUGGAGUGAUUUGUCUGGUUAAUUCCGUUAACGAACGAGACCUCAGCCUGCUAACUAGUGACGUUUAUCCUCUGUUCGCCGUUCGUUGUCAUUCCUUCGGGUUUGCUUCGAGCUGAACUCUUGGGGAUAGGAGAGAGCUUCGGUGCUUGUUGCUACCCUGUAGCGGCAUUGCGUCGUGCUCCACGUAACUUCUUAGAGGGACUAUCCGUGUGUAGCGGAUGGAAGUUUGAGG
rnacentral:rRNA from 1 species